AUUGAACGCUGGCGGCAUGCUUUACACAUGCAAGUCGAACGGUAACAGGCCGCAAGGUGCUGACGAGUGGCGAACGGGCGAGUAAUGCAUCGGAACGUGCCCAGUCGUGGGGGAUAACUACUCGAAAGAGUAGCUAAUACCGCAUACGAUCUAUGGAUGAAAGCGGGGGACCGUAAGGCCUCGCGCGAUUGGAGCGGCCGAUGUCAGAUUAGGCAGUUGGUGGGGUAAAGGCUCACCAAGCCAACAGUCUAUAGCUGGUCUGAGAGGACGACCAGCCACACUGGGACUGGGACACGGCCCAGACUCCUACGGGAGGCAGCAGUGGGGAAUUUUGGACAAUGGGCGCAAGCCUGAUCCAGCAAUGCCGCGUGCAGGAAGAAGGCCUUCGGGUUUUAAACUGCAUUUGUACGGAACGAAACGGCUCUGGUUAAUACCCGGGGCUAAUGACGGUACCGUAAGAAUAAGCACCGGCUAACUACGUG
rnacentral:rRNA from 1 species